AGAUAAGGCCGCUCGCUGACGCCGCGUUUCCUCUUUCGGCCGCGCUGGUGAACAGGACCCGUCGCCAUGGGCCGUGUGAUCCGUGGACAGAGGAAGGGCGCCGGGUCUGUGUUCCGCGCGCACGUGAAGCACCGUAAAGGCGCCGCGCGCCUGCGCGCCGUGGAUUUCGCUGAGCGGCACGGCUACAUCAAGGGCAUCGUCAAGGUGGUCUUCCGGGAUCCGUACCGGUUUAAGAAGCGGACGGAGCUGUUCAUUGCCGCCGAGGGCAUUCACACGGGCCAGUUUGUGUAUUGCGGCAAGAAGGGUUAGCAUCGCGGCGGGGAAGGAAGGUCGGGGUGGGGAGGGGUCUGGGUGUUGCCUGAGGAGUUAACGUCCUAAGCCGAUACGGGAACCUCGCAGGCAGAAGCUUCAGGUGGGGACAUCCGCGUGGCCACACCAGUGGCCACCGGUGGGUGCCGAGAGAGUUGUACCGGGAGGCUGGAUGUCGAAUGCUGUGCUCGCAACUUCGCGGGCUGCCUAGAGCGAGGGGGUUCGCAUUGCUUCUUACUGUGCUGACGGCCUGAUGCUGCU
rnacentral:sRNA from 1 species